rnacentral:lncRNA from 1 species
GGGUGUGCCAUUUAUCAAUGAUGUAUCGAGUUAAUUUGCAUUUCUAAUUUGAUAUGGCCUCAAUGGUUGUGUUAAUCAUCAAAAUAACAUUAUCAUCCUCAACUCCACUAGAAAUUCUCCCUUAAAUCCUUGUAUAUUUUGGUACCUCCAAGGUUCAUGGUGUAAGUAGAGUCAUGCACAUUCUCUAACAUUUCUUUCUUCAAAUCUACAUUUUUGGAGAGACAUAAUCUAUUACUGAAAAAUAGAAUCCAUCCCAAUGAACUUUGAAGUCAAAUAAUAAGGACCCAAGUGAGCAUGUGUUAGUCCCAAAUUGUCUAUGCACUGGGUAGAUCUUCAAUGUUUAUACAAACUCAAAAAAUCCAAAUAAUACCUUCUAGCUAAGUCUUUUUGAGUGAUUUCUUAGGUUGGUAUAAAUGGAAGAGCAAACUCAGCCCAUGGCCCAUGUAGGCUAGAAGAUAUUAUAGCAUAUGCCUUUUUGGAUUGACCACAUGAUG